UAAAUCAUAGUUUUGAAAAAUUUCUCUUUGAAAAAUCUCACAGCACACUUUUAAAGUAGUUUGUGCAAAGACACNAGUUUUAAUCGACUCACCCCAUAAUGAAAUCGACUUAAAACUGUUGUUUUGCCACACAAUUAAAGUUCAACAAAAGUGUUUGUGGUUUUUCUUUUCCAAAAACACGUGUCAUGAAUUCACAUAUAUAACACAGUGAAAUGCAAUGAUCAACACAAUAACAACACAACCAUGUUCUCAUAUAUUCUCAACAAGAUUCAACACAAUUAAUAUAAGCAUAUAACAUGUAAACAUAGAACAUGUAACACACAGUACACAUGUGUUAUUAAUUAUGCGUUGUCAUCAUCAAAAACUCAGAUAUUACUGAGAUUGUGGGUUCAGCUAAACCUGUGCUCCCCCUAUCAACAAUUUCAACAAUAAGCUUUAUGCAUGCUCUUUGGUUGUCCUCUAUUCUAUCCUCUUGAUUUUCUUCUUGAGAGGUCUUCUAUAUAUAGGCUUCAUGAAAACUUGUCCGUUAGAUUGCGUUUGUAGUUCGUAGUCUUGAUGCUUNUGUUUUCACUUUUUUCUUUUCACGGUAGUUGUUGUGUAAGUCCACGUUGUCAGAGAAGACAUGCUUGUUUAGUCCUUUUCUUGAAGUAGGUUGUACGAUCUUUUUAGACUUUGAUUCAAGAGAGGAACAUUCAAUUAUUAUCUCUUUUAUCUCUAACGUCCACAUUUGAUAUUUGAACUGUAGCACUGUAGAUGCGUGUAGAAUAGAUUAUAUGCAAACUUAGAGUAAACUAUGCAUGCAGCAGAUAUGACUUUUCUUAUCA
rnacentral:lncRNA from 1 species